rnacentral:rRNA from 1 species
UACGAGGGGGGCGAGCGUUGUUCGGAAUUAUUGGGCGUAAAGGGUGCGUAGGCGGUUUGGUAAGUCUUAUGUGAAAUCUAUGGGCUCAACUCAUAGUCUGCAUGAGAAACUGCCGGGCUUGAGUGUGGGAGAGGUGAGUGGAAUUUCCGGUGUAGCGGUGAAAUGCGUAGAUAUCGGAAGGAACACCUGUGGCGAAAGCGGCUCACUGGAC